rnacentral:lncRNA from 1 species
AGCGGGGUUAGUGUAUCCUAAUCAAGACACAGAGCAUGUGGAAAUUCUAGUUCUGAUACCAAGGCAAGCUAUCCAGGAAGACCUUUUCUCAGUAUUCCUCCUGACUGUGGUGGCAUUUCUGGAGUUUUACAUACUUACCUCUUCUAUGUGAGUGGAAAAAUGUUAAAAAGGCUGUUGAAGAAUUGAAGUCUAGUCUGUUCUUAAUGAGACUGUGGGAAAAUGUUUGGAAGACUUUAGUGGUGAUGCUUAUAACGGCUUGCAGCUCUUGUGCCUCAACGCUAUGAGGAGAGGAUGCGAUCAUUCUUUCA